GACGAACGCUGGCGGCGUGCUUAACACAUGCAAGUCGAACGGAAAGGCCCUGCUUUUGUGUGUUGCUCGAGUGGCGAACGGGUGUGUAACACGUGAGUAACCUGCCCUUGUCUUUGGGAUAACUUCAGGAAACUGGGGCUAAUACCGGAUAGGAGCUCCUGCUGCAUGGUGGGGGUUGGAAAGUUUCGGCGGUUGGGGAUGGUCUCGCGGCUUAUCCGCUUGUUGGUGAGGUAGUUGCUUACCAAGGUUUUGACGGGUAGCCGGCCUGGGAGGGUGACCGGGGACAUGAGGACUAAGGGACGGCGCAGAAGCGAAAGGGACGCAAGAGUGGGGAAUAGUGCAGAAUGGGCGGAAGCCAGAGGCAGAAACGCAGCGAGCGGGAUGACGGCCUACGAGUUGUAAACAGAUUUGGACUGAGACGAAGCGAGAGUGACGGUAAUGGGUAAAGAAGCACCGGCUAACUACGUG
rnacentral:rRNA from 1 species